rnacentral:rRNA from 1 species
CGGAUGAGUUAGGAAGAUGGAAAGACGGCGGACGGGUGAGUAACGCGUAGGCAACCUGCCUCAGCAGAGGAUAGCCAUUGGAAACGAUGAUUAAAACCUCAUAAUGCUGCAGUAACACAUGUUACAGCAGCCAAAGAUUUAUCGGCUGGGGAUGGGCCUGCGUCUGAUUAACUGGUUGGUGAGGUAACGGCUCACCAAGGUAACGAUCAGUAGCCGACCUGAGAGGGUGAUCGGCCACAUUGGAACUGAGACACGGUCCAAACUUCUACGGAAGGCAGCAGUAAGGAAUCUUGCACAAUGGGGGAAACCCUGAUGCCAGCAACGCCGCGUGAACGAUGAAGGCCUUAGGGUUGUAAAGUUCUGAUCUGUGGGAAGAAGAAAGUGACGGUACCACAGGAGAAAGCCCCGGCUAAAUACGUGCCAGCAGCCGC